CGGGAGGGUGAGUAUGUCUGGAAACUGCCGAGUGGAGGGGGAUAACUACUGGAAACGGUAGCUAAUACCGCAUAACGUCGCAAGACCAAAGAGGGGGACCUUAGGGCCUCUUGCCAUCGGAUGUGCCCAGAUGGGAUUAGCUAGUAGGUGGGGUAAUGGCUCACCUAGGCGACGAUCCCUAGCUGGUCUGAGAGGAUGACCAGCCACACUGGAACUGAGACACGGUCCAG
rnacentral:rRNA from 1 species